rnacentral:rRNA from 1 species
UACAGGGGGGGCAAGCGUUGUUCGGAAUUACUGGGCGUAAAGGGUUCGUAGGUGGCCACUUAAGUCAGACGUGAAAUCCCUCAGCUUAACUGGGGAACUGCGUCUGAUACUGCGUGGCUUGAGUGCAGGAGAGGAAUGCGGAAUUCCAGGUGUAGCGGUGAAAUGCGUAGAUAUCGGGAGGAACAUCAGUGGCGAAGGCGGCUGCCUGGCCCAAUACUGACACUCAGGUGCGACAGCGUGGGGAGCAAACAGG